GGAUGAGAAGUCCGCGGCCGCGGCGGGUGGGCCCGCUCCUCCUCUCCGCCAGGGAGAUAAGGCUGCCCAGAAAGCCUCGAACGUCCCGGGACGCAGGAAGACGCGCAGCCCGGAAGCGCCUUGCCGCUAGGCUUUUAGGCUCUGACCGCGUUGAUACGAAGGCAGCACGAAGAUGCGCAAAGGAUGCUGCUUAUGGUGGAGGAAGCGGGGCGCGUCGACUCCAGGGACAACCCAGCCAACCCCCAGGACCACGUGAAGGACAGCGGACCUGAGCUUUCCCUAAGGGACAAGACUCUCUGGGCGCUGGCUGCCGUGACACCCGGAAAGCAAUCGUUUGCGUGGUUCGCUCUGUUCUUCUUUCAAGAACGUUCACUCCAGGUCCUUUCGGGGGAAGGUUGCUGUUCUGAGUAAGCUUCUCCAAGGGCGUGAGUAUCACGGGGCGGAUAACGGCCCCCUCGCUAGCGCACGCUCGACGGUGAGGCGCGAGGUCCCUGCCCGCGGGGCGGCCGUCCGGUAAUCCGCAGCUCCCUGGGGGAGUCGGCUGCGUGUGGCCGCCACACGGAUACUUCCUGCACAGACAAGCAUCGCCGUGGCCGCUGCCCGGGCCGACACUCCUGUCCAUAAUCGUGGACCCGAUCGUGUUGUUUAUUCUGCUUUUUAUCACAUGGAGGAACCGGAGGGUUCACUGAAGGGCCAGCUCACGAUGAAGCAGGUCAAGAAGAGAAAGAGAUUCUCGCUCCCCACACGGCGAUCGCCCAGUACCCCAUGGGCCAGAGGGUCAGGUGCCCCCUUGGGUGGGGGGAGGGGCAGAGGAGGACACGGGUGACUCUGCUGAGGGGCAGUAAGUGGCCGCCAGGCAGGGCGAACGGAUGGGGGAAACAGAUCCACUGGUGAGUGAGUCUCUUUGGAAACUCAAUUCACCUGAGAGACAGGUAUUGCAUUUACAGUGGUUUGGGCCAGGUCUUGGAGACAGUGCAUUGCAUCCUGCGACCUUGGUCCACUACUGACCUCCCUCCUCCUCCUCCUCGCCCUGAGCCCCUAAUCUAUGAGUCAGAAGCACCUCCCAGGACGCUGGGGACGGUGACCGUGGCAACGAACACAGACCCUCUAGCGAGGGGCCUGGCCUGGUGUCCCCCUCUCUCCCAACACGGAGUAUAUGAGCUUGUCGAGUUUUUGCCCUUAACACCCCUCCACGGGCAGAAAGGAUUCCGAUUCCGAUUUCCCUGGUAUCUGGUCCGAAGUGGCUCCCAAAUAGACCGGCUCAAGCGAUCUGAAUAACUUCUUUUGCUGCUGUUUUCCUUUGAUUUACAAUGCCUUUCGACACAUCUUUUUGCGUCAAUUCACAAAUCACAUUCUAAAACAACGUUCUCUGGGAAACGGCGAAUUUAUAUGGGAGAUGCUAUCCUAGGCCGGAACGACCCACGCUGACAACCUGAAAUUAAUCGGCCCCGUCCGUCUCUCUAACGCCGAAUUUCUGCGCGCGAGUGUGAGCCCCCGCCUUGAGCAGUUGAAGCCAACCGCGGUCGACAUAUGUGCGGGGGCACGAUCGUGAUUGGCAUGAUUCCUCCCAUCUCUGCCUUGAGCCUCGGUGGGCAGCCUGGGCGGGAAGGGACCUCCAUGGAGGUCCACGUGGCCCUGGCCCAGCCCUGCCACCUCCACACUCCCUGCGGCCCGCGCUUUCUCCUGCAGCUUUUGCCGUCGGGCGUUUUGCCCCAGGAGCCAAGCCCAUCCCCAGUGAAACAAUAGUGUCGGACUUGAGUCAGGGUGGAACGGUAGGUGGUGACCGUCUCGUGUCAUUAUCCAGACUCGCCGGAAGAGCGUUUGUGCCGGUAGACAUUCACCCCCUUGCUCUUCAUUCACAAGCCCUGGAGUCUGGUUCCAGGGGUAGUUAGGGUUUUGUUGCUGAUGUGCCUGUACAUAGAGACUCACCUGGUGACUAGCCACACCUGGCCACCCUGGCAACGAGGAAGCAGACACGGUUAUGUUGUUCAUUCUCUUCUUCACCACGUGGGGGAAGCGGAGGGUUCACUGAAGGAUCAGGUCAUGAGGAGGCAGAUCAAUAAGAGAAAGAGAUCCGCUCACCACAUAGGGGAGAACCGCAGAGCGAUCACCCAGUACCCCAAGGGGCCCAGAGGUUCAGAUGCCCCCUUUGGUGGUGGGGGACAGGUAACUCUGCUGAGGAGCAGUAAGUGGUCCCCAGGCAAGGUGAACGGAUAGGAGAAACAGAUCCACUUGUGAGUGAUUCUCUUUGGAGUCGCAAUGCACCUGAGAGACAGGUAUUAUAUUUAAAACGGUUUGGGCAAGGUCUUGUGCAUUCCUGACCUUCUUUCCUGCACUAUCUCCAGAUAACAGGGAGGGGAGGGGAGUCAGUUGUUCUUUUUGAUGGGCCUGGUUUGCGCAGACAGAGGGAAAGCCCCUUCCAAGGCCUGUCGGUCUCUAAGGGCCUUUCAUUCACAAUACUCUUUACACCAAGGGGUGACAUUUGGGGGUAAAGUGUCCUGAGCUCCUUCGGUCACUUGACGUGGGGUUAGAGCUGGGGCUUGUCAUCAGUGAACCAUUCAAGUCUGUCCUCAAAUAUCACCUCCCAGGAGAAGCCCUCCUGGAAAACACUCCCGAAAAGAGCCUCCGCCACAAACCUCCCCCAACCACUACCCUCGCACCCUCUUUAUUUUUCUUCUUAGAAUUAAUCUACUUAAAAAGAUUCAGUUUUAUUUACUUGUCUGUAAUCCUCUUAUAAGUUCCAGAGAGAGGAGCUCUGUGCUGCUCCCAGCUGCAUCUCAGGGUCCAGAACAAAACCCAGCCCAUAAAUUCGUGUGUUUGUCGGCAUAAUGAAGAAAUGAGCUCCUUUAUCCCGCAGUCUCGUUUGUUCUGCUAAGACGUCCAAGAAUGGGCUUCCCAUCCGCCUCCUGCCUGCACCGCCCCUUCCCUUCCAGGGCUGCCCACAGGCCUCUUAGCCUUGCAGGUAAGUCACAGGUAAGUGGGGGUCUCUUGGCCUCACAGGUAAGUCACAGGUUGGAGGGUCUUGCAGCCUCUCGGGUUAGUCACAGGCAGGAGGGUCUCUCAGCUUCACAGGUGAGCCACAGGCAGGAGGGUCUCUCAGCUUCACAGGUGAGCCACAGGCAGGAGGGUCUCUCAGCUUCACAGGUGAGCCACAGGCAGGAGGGUCUCUCAGCUUCACAGGUGAGCCACAGGCAGGAGGGUCUCUCAGCUUCACAGGUGAGCCACAGGCAGGAGGGUCUCUCAGCUUCACAGGUGAGCCACAGGCAGGAGGGUUUCUCAGCCUUGCAGGUGAGGCCCAGGCAGAACAUCAGAUCAAGGUCAGCAGGAGAGGGGAUGUAUCUCGGGGUCCACACUGCAGAAUCCAAGGUGCAUCCGUCAGAAGCACCAUCCAUUCUAGGACUUUCAGGAGAGAAUUUAACAGAGGGCCUUGGUUCCACCUGGCUGACCAAUACACUGAGAAACCGACCACAGUGAGGCGGCCCAGAUGCCAGUGAGUUCUCAACGCCUUCACCACCCGGAGGGCGGAGGGUGAGAAAGGACACAGGUGUGUUUCCUGACGGCCGGAGCGAAACCUCAGCAGCCCUCCCAACGGGGCUGGGGAAACGCUGCCUCCAGCACAGAGAGAGGAGGAGAAGCCCCCCAAAAGCUCCGCCCAGGGCUCCAGCAGCAAAAGCUCCAGAAACCGCAGCUCCCCAUAACUGCAGAGCAGGGUGGGGAUGGCCUGCGCCCACCUGGGAGCACAGCCUGAAACACCUGCGCACGGGCGGGGCCCCAGCAGCACAGGACUGCCACGGCCCAGACGGGGCCAUGGACUUAGGGGUGGGUAGAAAAGGAGGAGAAAAUGAAGACUGAGUGGAAGAAAACCUCCCACCACCACAUGAGGCAAAAUCGGCCAAGAUUAAGGGGAACCACACGGAAGGGGGUGCAUCUUCCCCUGGGGUUCCAGCAGGCCCGGCGUUCCUCGUGGGGGUGAACUGAGCUUGCAAACGUUCUCAGCUUCAGGGACUGUGGGGUUUUGCACGGGGAAGCUCAGCUCUUACGGGGACCUGGAGGAGAAAAUGGGGAAAAGGGAGCUUUCUUAGAGCCCAAGCACCACAAAAACACACUUAUCAAUAGUAGUAAUUUGCGAUGAGAAAUUUUAAAACAGGAGAAUAAAAAUUAAAGAGGGGAAACGCAUGUCGGCAGCACAUCUCCUGCUUUGUUUCCGCCUUUGGACGGACGAAAACAUCCCAGGCUUCAGUCGAAUCCAUAUGACCAAAAAAGAAUAAAAAAGAAAAGAAAACUAAAACUCCAGAGAAGAAAUGAGCGUUAGCCCUGAGUAGUUAGUGAACUGUGCCUCCGUGUUGUCAUUUCGUAACAGAAAGACGUUUGCAAUUCAUAAGGGGCAAAGAAAAAUGCAAAUCGUUUUAAGAAAAAAGCAGUGACGCUAUUUCCAGAAGACCAAGCUCCUGGUGUGAGUUUUGGCUGUAAGCGUCUCGAGAAUCGAGUCCAGAAGGCCGAGUUUAAGAAAUCAGAUUUGCUAAUGUAUGUUUUUUUUUUUAAGUAAAGAAACAGAAUAGUAACAGGUCCCCUUUCUUCUAGAAGAGGACAAAACUCCAAGAGGCCAGGAGGGUGGAAGUGUUUUAGCCAUUCUGUGGGGAACCGUAGGAGUGGGGGUGGCCCAAGGUUCAAAUUAUAAGUGCAUAUCGUGUAAUAUCAUUACUACACAUUGUUGCUGCUAUAAUUAUCUGUGGCUUGUUUACAGGAAUCGGCCAGUGUGCAGUAAUUAUUCUUAUUUAAAAGUCAGGUUAGAGGGACAAUAAUCGGAAUAGAAGUCGUGCCUCCUGUCUGCUGUCUCAGCUUGUACACAGUCACUCCCACAUGUCAAUCAUCUGUCUGAUUUCAGAAGUUGGAGUAAAACCUAAUUCGUCCAGAAGCCAUGAAUUUGCUUGUUUUAGGACCGCACUGAGUUUUGCCUUUCUUGGCAAGAACUUUGCUUCACAUAGAGCCUCAAUGAAGGAUGCAAUUCAUCAAAAAUAAGGUUUAAAUAAUGUAAGAGAAAAAGUUUUACAAGUGCCUUCAAGUAUUAUAGAGUCAUUGAGGGGUACAAGCACCUUUGAUAUCCUUAUCAACAUUAGCCGUGUCGAUUUAUCAAAGCAUGUCCCUAAAUUCCUCCUUAAAUCUUCCUUCAAGUUGUGAUAGGCACUUGAAAAUAAUAAACCAGCUCAAAAAAUAAACAAAGUGGAGUUCACUCACUCAGACUGGUCUUCCCUCUCGCUAUUUCAGAUUAAUUAGACCUUGCCCUGUGAGUUAAGAGGAAGGUCAUCGUUACGCACGAAAUAUUGGCAAGCGUUUGUGGAGCAGUGCAGGGUUUGUGACCCCCCCACACACCACCACUUCUACAGACAGCAUCGCUGUCGUGAAGCCCAAGACUGGUCUUGGAAGCAUUUUUCAGACUCUGCGUUCUGGGGUCAGAGGUCACUGACGCCAACCAGACCGCAGACAGGGGUCGUGGGAACAGAUCCAGCAGCCUCCAGAGACCCCCACCCCGGAAAUCUCCCAACUGAGAAGACAGCCUCUGCUUGCUGACCCGGACAUACAUCUGCUGCAUCGAAACAUUCCUAGGCAACCCUCCUCGUCUCGAUGGUUGGAUCAUUACCUGAUGACCAGCUGGACCUGAAAACCAGUUUGGUUUCGACGACACAUUCCUCUGGUGAACUGACCCCCAUGGGCCUCGCCAGCUAGACCCAAGCCCAAGAUGCAAGAACCAGGCAGGAGGGACCACGAGCAGCUUUGGCACCUAGAACAGCCGUGGAGGGGAAGUCGUGCCUGGGGCCACUCUCUGUAGAGACCCACAGGCCCAGGAGCUGAGGUCCCCCCACCACAGCCCACGGAGAACUUGGCAGUGGGUCCUUAGCCCCGGUAGAAGCUUCCGAUGACGCGGCCCUGGCCAGCAACUCACCUGCAACCUCACAAGGGACCCUGAGCCGGGACCACCACCUGCCGACUCACUGGCAGCUUCCCAGGAGAAAGGAGCAUGAACUCUGAGGCCAGACGGGCCCCGGCCAACCCAGCUCCACCUGCAUGCAGCUCUGUGACCUUAGACAAGUCACCUGUCCCUUCUGCCCUCGGUUUCCUCAUCUGAGAAAUGGGGCCAAGAGCAGCACCUAUCUGAAAGGGGCGUGUGAAGAUUAAAUGAGCUUACCGAUGUGAGGGCUGAGCACGGACCAGCCCCCUUUAAGUCUGAAGCCGUGUUUAUGAAUAUUCAGUGCUGGCAGCCGAAAAUCAGAUCCCUUAGAAUCAGAAAUUUGAACUCUGGCCAACGACCCCUGUGCUGGUUGAGAAGGUCUCAGGGAUUCGUAGUUCAUGGAAAAUUACUCCACAAAAACAGAAACAGCCCGAAGGCUUUGGAGAAGGUGCGGACCCAGCUGCCGUCUUCCCUCCCACGGCCACUGGCCAACCAAGUCCCCCAGCCCCUCGGAAAGACGGAAUCAGGAGAGAAAAUGUCAGACAAAUACUCGGGGAGAGAAACCUGCUUCCCAGUGCCCGAGCUCACGACCCAGCCCUGCCAACCCGUCCUCACCAUCCAUCGGGGAGAGCAACGGUGACAAGGCCGGCGGAGAGAGGAAACGUCCGGGUCCGCACGGGAUGGGCGAGGAGAAAGAAAUCGGCCUUCCGUGAAAAAGGCAAGGAAAAUCAAAAUGUGGAAUUUGGGUGCGUCAACGUCACCCUGCAGACAAAACCAGACUCCCAGAGCAACGAGGAGAGCCCGAAGAUGACUUGGGAAAAGUAACUGUGGGUUUCACGGCAGUGCUGACCGGACGUGGAGUAUAAUAAAGUCAACGUCAGGACGACAAACGCAGGAAACAUCUCCCAGAGCACGGAAAGGAGUUGGAGCACCGGGGUAACAGUCCCGCCAUUCUUAGGCCAGGAGCACACCAGGAACCGAGGGCGGCUGCCACGCUGGCGUCUCUGGGCCGUGACUCGGAUCUCCCUGACGGAGCGACCUGGAUCCCGGAGCCCUCGGACAGCCAGGUCUGGUCCAUGGACACACUCGUAAAUCUCUCCCAACCACACCUGAGGCUCAGAACAUCGACCAGAUACCUCUCGGCGAGAAUCAGCACAAAAGCACUGCUCCACCUGACUUCUGAAAUAUCAAGCACUGGCAGACUUUUCCAGAGGUGGCCGUGCAUUGAGGAAAAGGAAAUGAUCAGGCAUCUCAGAGAUUACCGGACACUGGCUCUGAUCGGGCGCUAAUUCCAGAAGACACAAAACGCCACCCUUGUGCCCUGGUGAGAGCAGGGGCUGGUGGGGGUCCGUGGGGUUUAGCUCAGGCCCGUCUCCCAGGGGGUCCUGGGGGGUGUGCGGGAGCCCCCGGUGGGUCACAUCCCUGGGUCCAGGAUGCGUAACUGCAAUAGGCAGCGUCCCCACCAAGGGCGUCCUGACCUUGGGGCUAAGAAUGGGAAAGACCUUCAUCCUAGUAUGAUGGGAAGGACCAAGCAGAAACCACUAGAACUUUCUCCAACUCACACGAAAUACAGUAGACCAAAAGCAACAUUGAAUUCCUGCAAGGACCGACAAGUAAAUUAGUCCCACCAAGGACUUAAAUUAGGUAAGGGUGGCAUUCCCACCACCGCCUGGUUCAACUCUCCACUAUGAACACCUGCAGCCUCUGCCGGUCUUGGGCAGCCCCACCUUCCAGUAAGGACCCAGCACCUGUGGGUUGUGGGAGAGGGGUGGUGAGCGAGUGUCACCUGCUCCCCAUUCUGCUGUCCCUGAAAUGUGCUCGCUGCUUCCCGCCUGUGGGACCUGCCCCCCAAGACUGCUCACAUGAGGACCGGGUGCUCACUUUCCCACUCCCCUUCCCGCAUUUCCGGGACUCACGGCCACCAAAACCAACCACACGAACCCAUUCCUCUGCUCGGGGUCUUUUCCCAG